rnacentral:rRNA from 1 species
GACGAACGCUGGCGGCGUGCUUAACACAUGCAAGUCGAACGGAAAGGCCCUGCUUUUGUGGGGUGCUCGAGUGGCGAACGGGUGAGUAACACGUGAGUAACCUGCCCUUGACUUUGGGAUAACUUCAGGAAACUGGGGCUAAUACCGGAUAGGAGCUCCUGCUGCAUGGUGGGGGUUGGAAAGUUUCGGCGGUUGGGGAUGGACUCGCGGCUUAUCAGCUUGUUGGUGGGGUAGUGGCUUACCAAGGCUUUGACGGGUAGCCGGCCUGAGAGGGUGACCGGCGACAUUGGGACUGAGAUACGGCCCAGGCUCCUACGGGAGGCAUCAGUGGGGAAAAUUGCACAAUGGGCGGGAGCCUGAUGCAACAAGGCCGCGUGCGGGAUGACGGCCUUCGAGUUGUAAACCGCUUUCGCCUGUGACGAAGCGUGAGUGACGGUAAUGGGUAAAGAAGCACCGGCUAACUACGUG